rnacentral:rRNA from 1 species
CCUAACACAUGCAAGUCGAACGGUAACAGGAAGAAGCUUGCUUCUUUGCUGACGAGUGGCGGACGGGUGAGUAAUGUCUGGGAAACUGCCUGAUGGAGGGGGAUAACUACUGGAAACGGUAGCUAAUACCGCAUAGCGUCGCAAGACCAAAGAGGGGGACCUUCGGGCCUCUUGCCAUCGGAUGUGCCCAGAUGGGAUUAGCUAGUAGGUGGGGUAACGGCUCACCUAGGCGACGAUCCCUAGCUGGUCUGAGAGGAUGACCAGCCACACUGGAACUGAGACACGGUCCAGACUCCUACGGGAGGCAGCAGUGGGGAAUAUUGCACAAUGGGCGCAAGCCUGAUGCAGCCAUGCCGCGUGUAUGAAGAAGGCCUUCGGGUUGU